GAUGGAAGCUGAAUAACUCCUGGUGUGCAGGUAAAGUGUCUGCCCACUGUAUGAGGCUUCCUAGAGUAAUGUCUGGAGAUCUCUGUCUGGCUUUGUACAGUGCGUUCUGAGCCAGAUCGUUCCCCUCCGUACACU